CAAAACACAAAGCCCUAUGGACUUGAACCUGAAGUUAAAAACUGCUUUCCUCACUUUGGAUAUCACAUCAGUGAUGUGUUUGCCUGAGAGAGGAUAGCCACCAUUCCCCACUCCAUCACCAGUAGACACCUGGCCUUCUACAGGCAGGAAGAUGAGGAGGAAAAGAGACCCUCCCAGAGCAUUGGCCACCCGAGUCAUGAGACUGUUUAUUGUUACUAACUUCCAUCCCAAGAUAAAGGACAGAGUCCCUGGGGUACACUAGCGGAGACAAUUGGCAAAAGAGAGCAAU
rnacentral:lncRNA from 1 species